GACGAACGCUGGCGGCGUGCUUAACACAUGCAAGUCGAACGGAAAGGCCCUGCUUUUUUGGUGUUCUCGAUUGGCGAUCGCGUGAGUAACACGUGUGUAACCUGCCCUUCUCUUUGGUAUAACUUCAGGUAACUGGGGCUAAUACCGUAUAGGAUCUCCUCCUGCAUUGUGGGGGUUGGAUCGUUUCGGCGGUUGGGGAUGGACUCGCGGCUUAUCAGCUUGUUGGUGGGGUAGUGGCUUACCAAGGCUUUGACGGGUCGCCGGCAUGUGAGGGUGAACGGCGACAAGGGGACUGAGAGACGGAGCAGACUGCUACGGGAGGCAGCAGUGGGGAAUAUUGCACAGUGGGAGGAAGCGUGAUGAAGAAACGCCGGGUGCGGGAUGACGGCCUGCGGGUUGAAAAAAGCAUUAGGAUGAGACGAAGCGUGAGUGACGGUAAUGGGAAAAGAAGCACCGGCUAACUACGUG
rnacentral:rRNA from 1 species